rnacentral:rRNA from 1 species
UACGUAGGGUGCGAGCGUUAAUCGGAAUUACUGGGCGUAAAGCGUGCGCAGGCGGUUCUGAAAGUCAGCUGUGAAAGCCCCGGGCUCAACCUGGGAAUGGCGGUUGAAACUACAGGACUAGAAUCUGGCAGAGGGGGGUGGAAUUCCACGUGUAGCAGUGAAAUGCGUAGAGAUGUGGAGGAACACCGAUGGCGAAGGCAGCCCCCUGGGCUGAGAUUGACGCUCAGGCACGAAAGCGUGGGGAGCAAACAGG